CCCUUAGAUGUCCGGGGCUGCACGCGCGCUACACUGAAGGAAUCAGCGUGCUAAAACCAUUGUCGAAAGGCAUUGGUAAACCCAUUAAAAUCCUACGUGAUUGGGAUCGGGAAUUGCAAUUAUUUCCCUUGAACGAGGAAUUCCCAGUAAGUGUGGGUCAUAAGCUCGCGUUGAUUACGUCCCUGCCCUUUGUACACACCGCCCGUCGCUGCCCGGGACUGAGCCGUUUCGAGAAAAGCGGGGGCUGCUGCUGUCGGGGCUUUCGGGCCUUGGCUUCGGUGGAAACCGCUUUAAUCGCAGUGGCUUGAACCGGGCAAAAGUCGUAACA
rnacentral:rRNA from 1 species